rnacentral:sRNA from 1 species
GAAAGGUGUUGAGCCAUUGUAUGACGGCGAGGGGCGAUGGCUCGAAGCCUAACGCUCCCGAAUUACGGCUGCUAGCUCGUUGGAAAUACUUUACCAGAUCAAGGUAUUAAGGUUUGCUUAAAAUUUAGUCCGCUUCAGUUAUUAGUUUUUAGUAUUGAGGGGUAUGAUUGAAUGGGAACAAUCGAAACCUUUUCGAAGAAACGCCCUAAUAUCCAGUUUAAAAGAAGAGGGGGUAACAACAACUACAAGAAAGGAAAGUGGAAUGAUUCAAGCAGUAAGCAACCUUCAGAGGAUUAUCAAUUGCUCAACACUGUGUAUCGUAUUCUCUGCCCUUCUAAAAGCUCAGUGGUGUUAUUGGGAAGGUUUGCAACAUAGUCAAAGCCCUUAGAGGAGACCCCAGCAAACAUUUAGGUUUCUGAUUCUGUUCUUGGCUCAGAUGAGGGAGUAAUUCUU